UCCUCCCUUCCUCCUUUCCUCCCUCCCUCUUCUUCCUUCCUCUCUUCCUUCCUAUUCCUCUCUCUUCCUCCUUUCCUCCCUCCCUCUUCUUCGUUCCUCCUUUCUCUUCCUUCCUACGCCCCUCUCUUCCUCCUUUCCUUCCUUCCUCAUUCUCUUCCUUUCCUUCCUUCCUUCCCCUUCCCCUUCCCUUUUCCUCUCUUCCUCAUUCCCUUUCUUCCUCCCCAUUCCUCCCUUCCUCCUUUCCUCCCUCCCUCUUCUUCCUUCCUCUCUUCCUUCCUAUUCCUCUCUCUUCCUCCUUUCCUCCCUCCCUCUUCUUCGUUCCUCCUUUCUCUUCCUUCCUACGCCCCUCUCUUCCUCCUUUCCUUCCUUCCUCAUUCUCUUCCUUUCCUUCCUUCCUUCCCCUUUCUCUUCCUUAUUCCUCUCUUCCUCCUUUCCUUCCUUCCUCAUUCUCUUCUUCCUUUCUUCCUUCCCCUUUCUCUUCCUCCUUUCUUUCGUUCCUCAUUCUUCUUUUCCUUCCUUUCCCUUUCUCUUCCUUAUUCCUCUCUUCCUCCUUUCCUUUCUUCCUCCCCAUUCCUCUCUUCCUCCUUUCCUCCCUCCCUCUUCUUCCUUCCUCCUUUGUCUUCCUUCCUAUUCCUCUCUUCGUCCUUUCCUUCCUUCCUCAUUCUCUUCUUUCCUUUCUUCCUUCCCCUUUCUCUUCCUCCCUAUUCCUCUCUUCCUCUUCCUUCCUCAUUCUCUUCCUCCUUUCCUUUCUUCCUUCCCCUUUCUCUUCCUAUUCCUCUCUUCCUCCUUUCCUUCCUUCGUCAUUCUCUUCUUUCCUUUCUUCCUUCCCCUUUCUCUUCCUUCCUAUUUCUCUCUUCCUUUCCUCCUUCCCUUCUUCUCUUCUUUCCUUUCUUCUUGAUGGGGGUGUCACUGCUUCCAUCAAGCCCCUCCCCCCCCAAAAAAAACUCCCGCUCGGAGGGCGGGACGGCGACGGGACCUUGGAUCCUUACCUCCGCUCCGGUUGCGGGUCCGAAAGGGCCACUCUCAUGAAGCCGGGGUACCUUUUGCAGAACUGAGGAAGCGGGGAAAAAGGAGGCGUUGAGAGGCACCGCACGAUCCCACCGCCCGCCACCGCCUGCUCCUCUUCCCCCCCCCGUCCCCCGGGGCCGCGACUCACCGCCACGAUCUCGGCCUGCGGGAUGUUGGGGGCGAUGUUGCGGAUGAAGAGGGAGCAGGUCUUGUGAAGGGCGCGCGGCUUGGGAUCCUCGGCGUCUUUCUCCUUGCCUUUGGGGGACCCUUCCCCGUCCUUCGGGGCGCCCGCCUCCUCCUUGGGUUUCUUGUCCGGGGCUACGUAGGAGGCAGGUCAGGACAGGUUGCUCGCUCUCUCUCUCACACACACCACCCUCCCCCACAAUCCCGCCGAGAUCCUCGCACACAGACACAUACCUCGCACGGAGACGCAUACCUCGCACGGAGACGCAUACCUCGCACGGAGACACAUACCUCGCGCGCAGACACGUACCUCGCGCGGAGACACGUACCUCGCGCGGAGACACGUACCUCGCGCGCAGACACAUACCUCGCGCGCAGACACAUACCUCGCGCGCAGACACAUACCUCGC
rnacentral:lncRNA from 1 species